rnacentral:rRNA from 1 species
GUAGGGAAUAUUGCGCAAUGGGGGAAACCCUGACGCAGCGACGCCGCGUGAGUGAUGAAGGCCUUCGGGUCGUAAAGCUCUGUUGCAGGGGAAUAAAAAAAUGAAGGUACCCUGUGAGGAAGGAUCGGCUAACUUCGUGCCAGCAGCCGCGGUAAGACGAGGGAUCCUAGCGUUGCUCGGAAUCAUUGGGCGUAAAGAGGGCGUAGGUGGCUUGGUAAGUCAGGUGUGAAAGCCCAGGGCUCAACCCUGGAAGUGCAUUUGAUACUGCUGAGCUUGAAUGUCGGAGAGGUUACCGGAAUACCUGGUGUAGUGGUGAAAUACAUAGAUAUCAGGUGGAACACCGGAGGCGAAGGCGGGUAACUGGACGAACACUGACACUGAGGCCCGAAAGCGUGGGGAUCAAACAGGAUUAGAUACCCCUGUAGUCC